rnacentral:misc_RNA from 1 species
GAUGAAGAACGUAGCGAAAUGCGAUAAGUAGUGUGAAUUGCAGAAUUCAGUGAAUCAUCGAAUCUUUGAACGCACAUUGCGCCCCUUGGUAUUCCAUGGGGCAUGCCUGUUCGAGCGUCAUUUGUACCCUCAAGCUUUGCUUGGUGUUGGGUGUUUGUCCCCCUUUGCGGGUGGACUCGCCUUAAAGUCAUUGGCAGCCAGUGUAUUGGUUUUGAAGCGCAGCACAAUUUGCGAUUCAUGCUGGUCAUCACUGGUACCCAUAAGCCUUUUAUCACCUUUGACCUCGGAUCAGGUAGGGAUACCCGCUGAACUUAAGCAUAUCAAUAAGCGGAGGA